AUACAAGAAAUCAUUGAAGAUACUACUCCCUCUUUCCCACACAAAUAGAAGUUUACUUCUUUUUUCGCAUGGAUUUAAAAAAUACAGUUAAUAACAUUAAACCAAAAAUUUUUUUUUUAGUUUUUUUUUCUAUUAUACCCUCUAUUCAUAUAUUACUCUAUUAAAAAUUAAAAAACUUAUAUUACUGACAGGGACGUUAAUAAUUACAAAGAAU
rnacentral:misc_RNA from 1 species